CCAUUUGCCAGCUCUGCCCUGAAUCAGCACUGUGCUCUUGCUUGCAGCCCACCCUCACUCUAGCAUCCACCUUCAGGCUCCGAUGAGAGGUUCCACAUUUCACUCUGAUGUGAACUACCCACAGUGGGCCUAACUUCAACAUUAUAUGCUGAGACAGGCAUCCUGGAGAUAAAUUGUUAUUGCUCCAUGACAUGAUGGCAUCCUCUAUCCUCCGACACCUCCCCCGAUGCAAAGGUGUAUGUGGGUCGUGGAGUGUAUGUGCUGAUCGAGCGUUCUCAAUCAAAUUAGCAUGAGAACUCACACACUCUGGCCGAAGGAAGAAAAUUAGUUCAAGAAGUGGAGGAAGAAAGAAGAAAAUGGAUAGCUGAGAGAAAAAUGAAGGACAAUGGUGGACAUAAAGAUGGGACGAGGUGAUUAGGAGGAGUUUUCACAAAAACCAUGUUAUAUUGCUCCUGUAGGCAGCGGUUGUCUUUGUUUUGUGAAUUACAUUCCCCAUCAUUCUUAGCUUUUAACUACAAAACAGGUCUCUUGGACUUGUAUUUAGUAUGUAACUGGGAACAUUUCCUUGAUCAUUGCAUCUUAAUAAUGAUUCAUCUAUCUUUAUCAAACAGAAAUAAUUGUUCUACAGGAGUUAUAUUGUGUAAAAAGUCCAUCUUCUGUCAAGUAACACCUAGCUGACACCAGAGACUGUAUAAAACAUGGACGUAGUCUCAGUGAUGUUACCCUCUUGUUUCUCAAAGGCAUCAUGAAGCCUUACAAGGGUGCAUGCAAUUUUGAAAAUGCUAACUAAAGCUAACUUAAUGGUGAAUUGGUUGCCCAUCUAGCUUGUCAAGUUAAUAAUCUAUCUAGUAGAUUAUGCACCAAAUCAUCACACAAUAUUUUAAAGGCAGUACUAGGGGCUAGCAAAACCUAUAAGCUAAAACAAAUUGAGCCUAGCCUCUUGGCAAACAGAACAAGCCCACCUGUUACUAAUACUGGCCAUGCCCCGAUUGUGUCUCAUAAGUUAUAACUCUUAGUCUAAAUAAAACACAACAGAUGAUAUAAAGACAAAUACCACACCUAUAGUGCUGGGUGACUGAUUGAGUUUCAUUUACAAUUAUAAUUCAAGGUCAAGGUCCUGUGUUGGUACCCAAAAGGAACAUGUAUUGUGCAGACUGGAGUUUCAGCGUUCCAAAGCCAAAAACAACAAAUGGCAACACUGAUUCACAAUUCAGGACACAGUCAGACAAAGUACAUGAAAAACUAACAUUAAAAUAUUACAAACAACAGUGUGAUUACAACCAAGUAAUGAUAAAGUGCUUUUGAAGACAUCCAUUCUAAAAUAACACUUGAAAAAGCGCUGAAGUGCUUUUGAAGAUUCUCUAAAUGAAAACAUAGUCCAAUAGAGUCAAAAUGCAUCAUCUUGUAUUAGUUUGUUGCACAGACAGGAGGU